GACUAUACAGCCCAUGGAAUUCUCCAGUAUUCUUGCCUGGAGAAUCCCAUGGACAGUGGAACCUGAUGGGCUAUAGUCCAUGGGAUCACAAAAAGUCAGACACAACUUAGUAACUAAACAGGAAGAAGUAAUGUAAAUCCUAGAAACUAAUUUAACCAAACGUUGGUAAUUUCAGAUGGAGUUGGGAAGAGAGAGAGACUUAGAGGAAGUUAAUCAUUUCUGUUUUAAGACAGAGUAGUAUGAGCAUGGAAAUAGGAAAGGAGAUCCAAAAGAGACAAAUAUGAACUGAAAAUAGAUGCUUCUAAGAAGCCAAGCACAGGUCCUAAGGUCUUUGCUUGCUAUUUGACUUGCUAGGUUAUAUGAUUGUUUCAAUGUAAUAAAAACUAAACUCAAGUGUUAAAAAAUGUAUGUUCAGAGUAAAGAUGAUAUCAAGUUUUCUAUAAGAAUGAAGGGGUAUUUGCUUAACAUUUCUAAAGACUAUUCAAAUUAUUUCCUCCAAAAAGAGGGUAGAGGAAAUAAUAUUGAAAUCUCACUUCUAGAAAAAAAAAGUGUUUGGUGCUUUAAAGACAGAAUUGAAUUAGAGCCAUUGCUUUGUUUUUUCAACACCUCCCAAAGUGUCAAAAUUCUUAGGAUGCUCUAUGACAUGUAGCUUUCCAUACAAUGAACUCUGUAAGGCCAUAAACACUCUCAUGUUUGUAUCCCUAUUGGUUUCAGAGCCCAGCGCAAGGUCUGGCACAGUCAGCCCUCCCUGAUGUUGAAUAAAGGAAAACUGAAGAAGCAUUUUAUAAAUAAAAUCGUUCCGACUUUCUAGUUCAGUAUUUACCUUUCUGGUAUUUCCAUGCAGACAUGUCUCAUCUAGUCCCCACUAUUUCAAGAUCCCAGGGACAGAGACUUGUAUGGCAAACAAGAUUUGAAUUCAGAGUUCAAGAAGCACUUCCCGACUUCAGCCAAGUAAGAAGGAUCCUCUUCUUCCUGUCUGUGGAAAUUUCUUGGAUUUGGAAGGAAUUUAUCAUGAAGUUCUGUGAGGCGGGAGGACUGUAACACCAUUUGGAGCAGAAGCAAAAAUGAAGAGCUGUCCUGGGGUCUGGAGGAGCCCAGCCAGGUUCCAGUCUGUGUCAAAGGGGAGUGCUCUCUCAGUAGGAAACGGAACGGACAGUGCUCAGGGGAGGCAGAGUGAAGAGAUGGACACCCAGACAACUACCAACCACUUUGAGAGAGACAUGCAGAGAGGACCGAAAAGCAGAGUGGAAGGAGAAGACGACACUCUACAGAGAUCUAGAGACAACCACCCUCCUGCUGCAAGUGAAGAAUCAGCCUGGUUUACACACGGAGAGACCCCACCUCAGCCCCCUCUCCACCUUGCAUCCUACUGCCUGGCACAGGCCUUGGGAGCAUAAAAUGGUGCAGCCACAGUGAACAGCUCACCAAAGAGGAAGGCAAGACAAGCAGCUGCAGCAGCAGGGCGCCUGGCUCCAAGAGCCGAGUGUCCAGGGCCAAUUGCUCGUUUGAGCCUGUUUCCUCACCUGCCGAAGAGGGACAAUGAUGGACCCUCUCGGUGUUGUUAUAAGAUUCAAAUGAGAUCAUGUAUGAAAGUGCCUGGCCCACCCUGGCACCAGACUUUUUAAAUAAGAGAUUUAUUUUCUACUACACACCUGGCAUUUCUGGUAUUAAACCAGGAAGGGAAGGAGAGAGGCAGAGCCACAGAAAUGGUUUCAGCACCUGCGUGUAUUCAGCCAGGUGCAGCAGAAUGCUGCAGCUCUUCUCAGGCAGGAAACCAGGGCCACUGUCUCC
ensembl:lncRNA